rnacentral:rRNA from 1 species
CCUACGGGUGGCAGCAGUAGGGAAUCUUUCACAAUGGGCGAAAGCCUGAUGGAGCAACGCCGCGUGCAGGAUGAAGGCCUUCGGGUUGUAAACUGCUUUUAUAAGCGAGAAAUAUGAUGGUAACUUAUGAAUAAGGAUCGGCUAACUACGUGCCAGCAGCCGCGGUCAUACGUAGGAUCCGAGCAUUAUCCGGAGUGACUGGGUGUAAAGAGUUGCGUAGGUGGCAUAAUAAGUAGCUAGUGAAAUCUGGUGGCUCAACCAUUCAGACUAUUAGCUAAACUGUUAAGCUCGAGACCGUUAGGGGUAACUGGAAUUUCUAGUGUAGGAGUGAAAUCCGUAGAUAUUAGAAGGAACACCAAUAGCGUAGGCAGGUUACUGGGACGGUUCUGACACUAAGGCACGAAAGCGUAGGGAGCAAACGGGAUUAGAUACCCUUGUAGUC